UGGGGAAUCUUGCCCAAUGGGCGAAAGCCUGAGGCAGCGACGCCGCGUGCGGGAAGAAGGCCUUCGGGUUGUAAACCGCUUUCAGGAGGGACGAAGCCACUCGGGUUAACAGCCCAGAGGGUGACGGUACCUCCAGAAGAAGCCCCGGCUAACUACGUGCCAGCAGCCGCGGUAAUACGUAGGGGGCAAGCGUUGUCCGGAUUUAUUGGGCGUAAAGAGCGUGUAGGCGGCUAGAUAGGUCUGUUGUGAAAACUCGAGGCUCAACCUCGAGACGCCGGUGGAAACCAUCUAGCUAGAGUCCGGAAGAGGAGAGUGGAAUUCCUGGUGUAGCGGUGAAAUGCGCAGAUAUCAGGAAGAACACCCGUGGCGAAGGCGGCUCUCUGGGACGUGACUGACGCUGAGACGCGAAAGCGUGGGGAGCGAACAG
rnacentral:rRNA from 1 species